rnacentral:rRNA from 1 species
UACGUAGGGUGCUAGCGUUGUUCGGAAUCAUUGGGCGUAAAGCGCGUGUAGGCUGUCAAUUAAGUCGGGUGUGAAAUCCCUGGGCUUAACCGAGGUAGUGCAUCCGAAACUAAUUGGCUAGAAGAUGGCAGAGGAAGGUGGAAUUCCUAGUGUAGAGGUGAAAUUCGUAGAUAUUAGGAGGAAUACCGGUUGGCGAAAGG